rnacentral:lncRNA from 1 species
UCGGACCGGACUCGGGCACGUGUGCGGGUGCGGGUCGACCUUUACACUAUAUUAACUUUUUGGACAAAAUUUAUUUAAAAUUUUGGGCCAAAUUGUAAAUAAUCAAAUUCUUGGGUACAAAAUGAAAUUUAAAUUUUGGCUUAUUCCGGGUGUUUUAUUUUCUUUUAACAGUUGACUGUUUCGACUGUUUACCGACCAAACAGUCGACUGUUAGCCGACUGUUAACCGACUUAACAGACACGACUUUUAAGAACAGUAUGUAUGUUCGAAUUUUUGAGGCUUGUCUGAAAGGUGAUGACUGUUCGAAUGGCCACGAACAAGUCUAUAAAUAGCCAGCCUUUCUACCAGAAAAUUUACACCAUUUUCAUUGCAAACUUUCUGUGCUUUGAAUCUCAUUUCCCUCUCUCUCGUUCUGAUAUUGUCUCGAAAUAAAAAACACUUCGUUGAGUUCGUUGGAACUCCUACAGACUGCAGUGCUGCUUCCGUAGGAGACAAAAAAUUCGUUCUAUCCUGGGAAACGAUUGCUGG